rnacentral:lncRNA from 1 species
ACAAGAGGCUAGGAGCUGGGGGGAGAGAGGCAGUCCAGCCGCAGGGGCCACCCGAACAGUCUCUCCUCCUCACAGAAGCCUGCUUCUCACCUGGGGCGGGUGGGUUCUGCACCACCCUCCCACCCUCCUUCCUCCGUGUGGACGAUAGAGCCACAUCCAGCACCACGGACAGCUCCCGGGCGACCAAAAAGAAGAAUGUACUUCAUCUGGUUGGGCUGGAUUCCCUCUGAUAAGCCUUCCCAGUUGACUGAAAGAUGAGGCUAGGCUCUAGCAAGUUGAAGUCAAACCAGCUCCUUCAAGAAGCUUUGAGCAGAAUGAAGUGGGGAGGACCCAGCUUCCAGCCCAGGAAGCCCACUGUACCUGGAGCCAUCUGGGAUAAGACUUUGACCCAUGACUCCCAUAUCCACAGCCUGUCCAUCCUAGCCCAUCCCAGUUUAUCCUGUAUCAUUUGAGCUGGGAUUCCCACAUCCUCUGAGUUGGAAGUCCCAUCUCAAGUCUUCAAUAAAGACUCUUGAAUAUUGAAUCACAUUAA